rnacentral:rRNA from 1 species
GGGAUAACAUUCUGAAAAGAAUGCUAAUACCGCAUGACAUAUCGGAACCACAUGGUUUUGAUAUCAAAGAUUUUAUCGCUUGAAGAUGGACUCGCGUCCGAUUAGUUAGUUGGUGAGGUAACGGCUCACCAAGACCGCGAUCGGUAGCCGGACUGAGAGGUUGAACGGCCACAUUGGGACUGAGACACGGCCCAGACUCCUACGGGAGGCAGCAGUGGGGGAUAUUGCGCAAUGGGGGCAACCCUGACGCAGCAACGCCGCGUGAAGGAUGAAGGUUUUCGGAUUGUAAACUUCUUUUAUUAAGGACGAAAAAUGACGGUACUUAAUGAAUAAGCUCCGGCUAACUACGUGCCAGCAGCCGCGGUAAUACGUAGGGAGCAAGCGUUGUCCGGAUUUACUGGGUGUAAAGGGUGCGUAGGCGGCUUUGCAAGUCAGAUGUGAAAUCUAUGGGCUCAACCCAUAAACUGCAUUUGAAACUGUAGAGCUUGAGUGAAGUAGAGGCAGGCGGAAUUCCCCGUGUAGCGGUGAAAUGCGUAGAGAUGGGGAGGAACACCAGUGGCGAAGGCGGCCUGCUGGGCUUUAACUGACGCUGAGGCACGAAAGCGUGGGUAGCAAACAGGAUUAGAUACCCUGGUAGUCCACGCUGUAAACGAU